AUCAGUCAUACUUUCUUCCCACAAGCGAUGACACUGCAGUGGGCGUGUCCUGUUUGUCACGUGGACCCGCUGACCCGGAAGUUGAGACUGGAGAACGACGGUGACUGCUGGAGAUAAACCGGGAGACGGGUGUCGGCCAUGUUGGUGGGGGAGCGGAGGAACGGCAAUCUCCUGGUCCAGCUGGGUGUGAAGCUCCAGGCCCAUCCGGAGGAGCUCCUGCGCCAGCGAUGGAGCGUGGACGGUCACGUGGAGUAUCUGAUCCGCUGGGCGGUGCACAACACGGAGGAGCGGGGCCUGCCAACAAUGGAGCCGCCUCCCAAGCGGAGAACAAGUCCUCCAAUAUCCUGAUGUGGAUGUCCGCCGAGGAGGUGUACAGCAACUGCCCCCACCCUGCUGGGGAAGCGGAAGCCUGAGGGGCCCGGGCUCCUAGAAGAGAAGACCUCCGGGGCCCCAGACGAGGGCGCUCUGCAGGAGAUGACAGAAGAUGUGCGGAUGCUGGUGCAGAGAGCCGCCCGCCAGAUGUCGCAGUCUUGUGGCCCCGACUCGUCCAUCCUCAACACCAUCCACGUGCUGAGCGCUUACGCCAGUAUCGGCUCGCUGGCCGGAGUCUUCAGGGAGACGGGAGCGCUGGACCUGCUCAUGAAGAUGCUCUGCAACCCCGAGAAACAGAUUCCGCAAGAACGCCGGCAAGAUGCUGCGAGCGCUGGCGUCACAUGAUGCAGGGAGUCGCGCCCACGUCUUGUUGUCCCUCAGUCAGCAGGACGGCAUUGAACAACACAUGGACUUUGAGUCGCGCUUUACACUCCUGCAGCUCUUCGCAGAGACCACCAGCUCGGAGGAACAUUGCAUCUCAUUCGAUGGCAUCCACCUC